rnacentral:rRNA from 1 species
UACGUAGGGCGCAAGCGUUGUCCGGAAUUAUUGGGCGUAAAGAGCUCGUAGGCGGUCUGUCGCGUCUGCCGUGAAAACCCGAGGCUUAACCUCGGGCUGGCGGUGGAUACGGGCAGACUAGAGGUAGGUAGGGGAGAAUGGAAUUCCCGGUGUAGCGGUGAAAUGCGCAGAUAUCGGGAGGAACACCGGUGACGAAGGCGGUUCUCUGGGCAUUACCUGACGCUGAGGAGCGAAAGUGUGGGGAGCGAACAGG